UUCAUAUUUUUUCUCCUGUUUGUUUGUCUGUUAACAUGCAGGGUGAGGUUGUCCCAAGGUUAGGGAGUUGGAAUUUCCCUUCCUGUGUUGUCUUACUGCUCCUCUCCUUUCUUUCUUGCUUUUUUUGCUGCAGGUCACAGCAUAUUUAUGGCGAGGUUGGUGGGGGAAGUCUCAGCUCAUCUCUCCCACUCCAUCUGCCCUGGAUAGUGCCAGUCCUUUGACAGGAGAACACCUGGCUGGGCAUUGUCCUUCCACCUCAUCAUCAAUAUGUCUGCAUCACAGCUUCCCUCCUGAGCUUUAAGAGCAAAAUUACCAAAAGCAGUCUCGAGUUUUUGAUGUCUUCAUUUUUGAGGAACUGAACAUGGGACGCAGCAGCUGAGUUUCAGCAGAGCUGAACACCAGUAGCUUCUGUUACUGGCUGAGCACUCAUCGCUGCUUGAAAUCAGGCUUGGAGUGUCUUUAAUGGUAUUUAUUGUUUAGAGGAGAAUUGUGCAUCAAACCUGAACAAGACCUGGGAGAAAUCAAAGAAAAGGGAACUUACGCUCCCCUAGCAGGAAACUGAAACAAUGUGCAAUUUAAAAUCUGCCACUUAAAUGUAUGCUGGCUCCUCAUGAUGAAACCACCUACCCAAAGGCAUUUAGAUUUUUUUUUUAAAAAGCACAAAAAUGCAUAUUUCCUAUUGAAAUGUUCAGGAAACACAUGCCCAGGAAUAGAGCUGAAAAUGAAGCUGGUUAUCUUUCUUCAUCCUUUGAUCUCUAACAUCUUUCAAAAUCUGUCCUCCAAGUAAUGUGCCCGAGGAUGCACGAAAUCAAGGCUGAAUCUUUAUCUCCUCCACUUGAUCGUCUCUGCACUGCAAUUCAGAACACAGAUACAUUGCUCCUCAGGACUAGCCCUGGCUGAGGCAGUCAACCAGACUAAUCCCAGAAAUACAGGUCGAGGAUGGGAAUUCAUAAAUGCACAGGCGCCCUCGCCUCACCCUCCCAUCCAGGUCACAGCUGCAUUUGUCCCCUGAUUCUCCCCAGAUGUGUGGGGGAAUUUAAAGAACUUAAAGAUCUAUCCCAGUCCUUCACCUACAUGGAGGAGCACAGAGCCAGUCAUUCCUGAACUGACAGCCACAGAGAACCUGGGGCCUUUUAAUGCUGGAAAUAAUCAUGGGGAGGAAGGAGAGUGCCUACAGACAGCAACUGCCUCUGUAGUGAAGGGAAGUCUGAAGUUUCCUCUCUGCUUUUUCGUGCAUAACAGCAUCUGUAUGCCUCAUUUCCAUCUUCACAGCUCCUGUAAUUUACAUAAUGAACAUUUGCAAAGCCUGAGAUCUGGGUUCACUUUGUACCACAUUUACUGUAGAUGACCUUCAGUGAAUUAUCAGAAAAGUUUCCCAGGCAAUUUUCCCAAAGGGUGUGAAUGUGAAACCUAAGAUCAUCAGGGAAGGAGAAAAGGGGAAUGAAAGCAGAUUUCUGAGAUAUCUGUCAUUCAAAGAUACGUUUUUGCUUCUACUGCAGAACAAAAAUAUUUGAAUUUAAAAAGAAGGGAGGUUUGUCUUUAAAGCAGAUGUUGGUAUCAGGUCCCUCAAUAAAGUUGCUUUAAUUAGGUUUGCCUUCCUAGAUCUUCAGAAAGACAAUUUCCUUGAUAAAAAUGCAUUUGAAAAAAUAUUAAGCAAAAGGGAAAAAACGCUCAGAGAGACAAUUUUAUUUGCAUUCCUUCAUAAGCAAUGGCUGUAAAAUGAGUUUAUCCACUUUGGCCCCCUGAUCAAGUAAUGAAUCUGAAAAAACAAGUCUGGUGACAAAUAACUGGCAAUCCAGCAGAGAUUCAGGACUGAGGAGGAAUUCUGACCUCAAAGGAUAGGAAUAGGACAUCGGGGUGAGAACAAGCAGCUGAAGCCACUUAUGGCUCCUCUGGAGGUGUCAGCUGCAGCUCUGAUUGCACCUCCUGAUAGUGCUCCAGCAAUUGCAAAGUGAUAAAGCAGGAACUGACCCAUUUUUGCUUCUGACACCCAUCCUCAGUGAACUGUCCUUUUCAGCCCCAAGUUCCUGCAGAGUUCAUCUGACAGAGUCCUGGGAAGCUGCAUCUCCAAUAUUAUAUUGAACUUUAUGUUGUAUUUACAUGGGGCAACAGGGAACACACUUUUAUAGGUGUUGGCUGGCUUCUAGGUAAGCACAAAUCAGGGAUCAUCACUCAUCUGAGAAGUGCUUGUGAGUCCACUUUUUGUUUGCUGUUUGGGCAGCAACACAGGUUAUUGCUCACUGCAGCAAUGGAGGAUGCUUUGAAGGAAGAAAUUAAUUUUGUAACUGACUCAGGACUCUUGUUUGUACAGAAAAUAAGCUGAAAGCUGAAAUGCAGAGCCUUAUUCUGGUGAUGAAGAAGGGCUCUCAUAUCAUCUGUCAUAAGACUCUUCAGACAGAAUGAAUCACAAACCCACCAUGACAGGCAUGCUGGAAAUGCUCACGUAGAUAAACCUGACACUGUUCCCGUUGCUGUAGGCCAGGCAUAUGUGAAGUGCUGCUUUACAUAAUAAUCUCAAGAAGCCAAGCAAGCUUUUUAGAUUCCUUUGUGCUUUGACAACAGUGCCCUGUGUGCCGUCCUCUUGGGGCAGGAUCCUGUGGUAGAUUUUGAAAGCAGCAAUGUGAAAUUGUCCCUGGGGCCAGCAGCUGUGCCCAGCAGAAGCUCUGUGCACCAGGGAGGUGCUGAACAGUUCACAUGCAUGAACACCGAGUGAGAGCUGAACAUGAGCACCAUAACUUCUGUCCUGAAACUUCUGAAAGAACCACUUCAUGGCUUUGGAUCACAGCUCAUCAAGGGCCUGUGAAUGAGGGACUGUUCACCUGGUCAUGCUCUUCCUCUGCUCUUGCUGUUUAUUCUGGGAAGCAGAAGCCUCCCAAAUCGAUCUGGAAAGUGUAUCAACAAGAUGAUUGUUUUUGGAUUGACUCCUCCCUGGCUCAUGGAGCCCUACAGGGUUAUCUGUGUGUGUAUGCUUUAAGGCAAAUAACUAAACUAGUGGUACUGCUAUGUUGAUCACCAGUGUUGGACAUUUUUAACAAUAUAUGAUCAAUAAAUGAUGAAUCACCAAUGAAUUUAUGCUAAGGUGGGGCAGAAGAUGUUCCCUGCUCAGGAACAUGUCAUCUUCUGCAAAGAGUCAUUGUCAGCAGCCUCAAAAGGAAUAAAACCACUGUCUUCAAA